AAACUUACUUACCUCUUUUCUCUAGCUUAAGGACAGCAUUGUUGUACUGUAAUUAAUAACUUUGGAGCAAAUAUGCAUUACAAUUCAACUUCUACCAUUCAAUUCAAAGCCAUCAGUUUUUUCCAGCCAAGACAAUCCUCAUCCUCUGCUAUGUAACACGUACACUUUCUUCAUUAGCCUUGUUCUGAAGACUUAAAAAGAAACUGGGUUUUUGGAAAUCUGCAGUAAUGAUGUGUCAUUUUCUUUUGCUGGCAGUGCAUGGCAGUUUGUCUAAUUUAAUGAAGGAAAAAUGGAAUGUGUUAAUAAAAGACAGAAAUGGAAGUAGAAAUCUGCUGCUUUUGUAGAUCCUUAAACUUUGCAGAUCCUGAGAGGAUGAAGUUUAUUUGUUGCCUUUUACCAGGUUUGAUCCAAGUUCCUGAUGAACUGUGUAUCUUUGGGAGCCAGUGCCCUGAAACCAAUUGUCAAUUUUCAGCCUGAACACUGAAUCUCUGCAGUCACAGUAGAAAGUGACUUAAGAGGAACCUGGUUAGGCUGCUCCUGUUCAAGGGUAAUAGGCAGGGGACUGGAGGGUGAGACUUGUAUGCCAGCAAGCUGGAAGGAAGGUGUUGUUGAAGGUGAGGAGAAGAUAAGAAUGAUAAAAUGUUGUUAAGAAGAGCUGUAACAGGAAGUGAUCUGGGGAUUGUGUGUUUUCAAAGCAUGACAAAUUUAGUGUUUGUUUUAAUUUUGAUUUGAUCUGGAACACAUUUUUACCUUUUGAACACUGAAAGUGUUGCUCCCUGUCUUUGUGCUGUUGUGAUUGGCACUGCUACUGCCUGUGGUAAUGGCCAGCAUGGGAGGCAGAGUCCUUCAGAGAAUUGGUCUUUUUCUUUUUUAUGGCUGCCAGGCAAGAAGUCAGCAGCAGGUCAUUGUGGAUUUGUGCUGUAGACUUCAAGCUCUGCACACCUGAGUAUAUUGAAUAAAGGCAUGUUAGGCUUUGACUUAGCUUGGUUCAGUUGGUAAUUUUGCAGAAAGCAGUUUGAGAAUUAACCAAGUUGUAUUAAUUAAGGUAACAAUAAGUAAGAAAGUGGCUUGAUAGGAAUGGAGUUGAGUAUGGUGACACAAACUUUGGGUAGCUCAGCAAAGUUAUUUUAUAGUUCUAGGCUGAAGGGUUUGAUCCUGUUUUCUUUAUUUAUUGAGGAUGUGUUAAACUGCAUUUUCUUUAGGACAGAAGGUAUAUAUCAUUUUUUUUUUAGCUGCCAUAACAGAAUACAGUGUUGUUACCUCUUUGUGUUCUGAGAUGUUUUUUGGAGAAGGCUGUUGCCUGUCAGUUGAUCCACCACAAGGUACACAGGUGAGCUCUUACAUGGCAUAAAGCUGAGGAGAAAUUCUGUUUUCACCUGGCUAAUUCUCUACUUUCUUCAUUUAAAAAGAGACAAUACACCCCAUCUUGAAAUGGCUGUGAAUUUUCAGCCUUCAAAUUUUCAUAUCCUUGUUGGACUGUUACUUUUCCGGAGAUAGAUGGUUUUCAUGUAAUCAAUAAAAAUAUUGUUUAUAUGUCUAAGGUAUAUUUAAUACUUGCAAAGAAACAGGCAACACAAGGCAACUACACAUAGUAGGGUAACAGGACAAGUAAAAGGAGAGGUUUGUGUUGAGCACCACUGUUUUUUUAAUACAUGAUUAAAAGUGACCGUACAAAGUAGAUUCUCUUAGCUCACCAAACAAGGGAAUUAAGUUUUCCCCUGCAGACUAGAGCAAUCCAUUCGUGGGUUUUGAUACUUUCUGUAGAUAUUUUCUUUCUAUAAAAGUGCACAAACUGAAAAUUCUUUACUGAUACUUACACUAAACCAGUUGGUCUCCAUACACUUAAAAAUUUCAGAUGUUAUCCCAGUUUCUUAGGGGUAGGGGUAUAAUUUACUUUUGGUCACACCCAGUUAUGAAAACCUCAGACAGAUAUACUUGCUUACUUACUUGCUGAGUGAAUGGGGGAUUUAAUUUUGAAAUGGUUGUCUGUCCUGGAUAGUGGUGUUUGCAGUCCCAUAGUAACCUGACACGUGCUUUAGGGUACAGCUUUGUUCAUCUUCCAAGUUUCACGGUUUAAUUUGGAACAUUUCUGACAGUUCUGUUCUCCGUAUUUCAGGUGUACAGCAGUUUUGACUGAAGCAGCAGUGUUUUUUGUGAUGACAGAAGACAGGCUGUUUGAGGGUUAUCAUAGUGUUUCUUCCCCAGUUUAAAGGCUUUAACCACCUUUCAACUUUUAUGGCAGAUCGGUCACAAGUACUUGUAGAAAAUUACUUUCUUUGUAUGGUGAACUAUAAAUGGCAAUUUUGUUACGAGUGUAAAUUUACAAAUUACACUUAAACAAUGCUUCAGUGAGGAAAAUGGUGGAUAUCAGUAUUUAGUCACUGCUAUAUCUCUGUCAAGUUUUUGAAUGUACUGGAUGUUAAAUAGCCAGAGCUCUUCAUGUUUUUAAAUUUCUCUUCCUACUGAUAUUCUGCAGUCCUAGUUUUCUAGAAAAUAUGCUCCACAUUUUUCUCUUAUUUUUAGUUUCUUUAAUGAAAUCCAGUCUUUCUCUUCAAAGGUACAGAAACAGAGAGGAAGCUUGUCUGUAAAAGUACUUUGCUAUCAAACACUUCUUUUCAAUUAAUAAAAAACCAUUAGAGUUGGAUGCCUAAUUUUUCAAGUAGGGCAGGCAAGACUGGGUUUUGUGGAAGAACCCGAGAGCUCAGCUGUGCCAUCCCGUGGUGUACCAGUGCUGCCGAGAUCCUGUGAGCUGCCUGCGGUCACUCGGUGCUGGGGAGUGCAGGCAGGGCUGGCAAGCUCCUGCCUCGCUCCUCUGGAAGGGCUCUGACUUCACAGCAGAUGAGCUCCAGCUGCCUUUUAGCAGCAGGAUGGGGACUUUGGUAACUGAUAACCCGUGAAAUCUUGUUCUUUGUGGUAGUUGUGAAAGAGCUGUGGAGCUAGGUAAACAUCCCCCACGGUCUUACGGAAGUGACUGGUGUGACCAAUGCCAGUGGGUUCCUAGAAAGUUUUAAUUGCUUUUACUCCAGUUUUGUGUUUGUUAAAACUGGAAAUGUUUAGUCCGCCCCCUGGUUCUGCCUCCUUUGGGUUUUAGGUAACUUCUAAAGCUAUUUGUCAUUACUUAAAGCUUUGAUAGCUAUGAAUCAUGUCAGCUGAGUGUAGUUUAUUCGUACUUGAAAAAAACACUAAUCAAAACUGAGUUUGACAAUAUUUUUGCCGAUUUUUGCUCAGCAUUUAAAAUCAAGUUGACUUAAUUUUUUUACCAUGAAGGUUAAUGGUAGCAUUUAGUAAUACUGCCAGUGUUUUGAUUUGCCCAUAAAGAUCAAAGUGAUGAUAAAUAUCCUGAUAUACAUCCUCUUUUUUCACUGAUUUUUUGGACUUCCUAUUAAAAUGUAUGUAUUUUCUAUAUAAAGAUGCUAAUAAUCUGUAGCUUUUAUAUACUUGAGGCAUGAUGCAUUUUCCCCCCAUGUUCUCUAACAAGAAACCAUGCCUGCUGAUUGCUGCUCCUGGAAUCCAACUGCUGCUGAGAGGACGCAUGUGUGGAUAUCGCUUGGCCACACUCCACUGCACUAACAUUUCGGUGAACAAAGUAUAACUUACAUCUCAUCCUUUCAGCAUGUGUGUUCUGUGCUUUGGGAAUCACACUGGCUCAGUUUAUGCAGCUGUAGCUUGGCUCUGUCACUUCUAUUAUCUGAAGCUGUUUUUUCAUCUUUAUAAUGUGUCAAAAAGUCACCUUGAAAUGAUGUUAAGAUACCUGUCUUAAAAAAAAUUGUAUUGUCUUUGACAUAUUGUGGUUCAAUUUUUUGAAGAUGCUUUGAUUUUGUUUUAUAUUACCGAGUGCAAUUGACAUGUGUUAAAAAAGUGUUGUCUGUUUACAAAUCUAUCACUGCUAGGCUACCAAAGUUUGAAAAUAGUCUGCACAUAUCAAACUUGUUGGUGUUACACAAUCAAGAUGUAUUGAUGUAUGCUAUUGAGCAGAUGAUAGUUCCUAUUGAAAUUUUCUCUUUUUUUUUUUAGAGCAACUGAAUUAAAGUAUAAUAAAAUAUUUGCAAUGGCUCAUAACUCAGCUAAACUUUCAGUUGGCUUUCAGUAACUUCUCCAUAUUAAAUCCAGAAAUUGUGAAAGCUUUCAAAUUAAACUGGAAUUUGUGUCUAUGUAUUAAUCUAGUGCUUGUGGGUUUUUUCUUUGGAGAUUUUUUGUUUGGGAUUUUUUCAGUUAAAUUUUGUAUAGUAUUUUGAUUUUGAGAAAAGACUUAGCAUAGGAGAUUUUUCUAAUCAUAGAGUUAUGAAAGUGGUAUUUCUCUACUCCUUUUAGCAAAAUCAUCCAUAAAAAGGAAAUAAUUUAUAUUUGCAAGACUAGUUUUGCAUUGUGUGUUACAAUUUCAAAGUUUCAAUACAAGAACGUGAAAAGAGACUUAGGAUGAAGGCUGAUGCAUAAAAGCAGUUUUUUGUACAAGGAUCUGAAGAGCAGAAAAGACCUUGUGUGUGCUUUGGAUACUAGUACAUUAUUGUCCAAAAUGUUGAUAGUGGAAUUAAAGGACCAGGAUGGGAUUCUUGUCAGUCUUCUCUCAUGCAGUUUUAAUUACUACUACUUUGAAACCUACACCUGCGAGAGAGAGGGAGACAUGCUGUACACCAGCAUCCUGUUUGAUAGAGCAGGGCCAGUGUGGGAUCAACUAGCUUAAUUUGGCUGGCUAUGGAAAACUUUUAACUAAUCAGAUUUUUCGCUUAGGAAAGAAGAUAAUUACAGGAAGGGAAUAACCUCUUAUGCUGAAAAAUUGCAGAAGAACAUUGCAAGAUCUGUCGUCAUCCUUGAACAUAAUGUUACUGUGUUUGAGAUGUAGGAAAUUGCAUUAUAAAAUCACCCUAAUCUCCUGUUACAUUGCUGGUGUGUGUACAUGAACGAAAUUGGUGGGUUUGUACCUCAGAUCUGUUCACAGUAUUCUGUUUGCAGCUAUGUCUCCAGCAGAGGAAUGAAUUUGUUAUCAUGGGCAUGUGGGUGCAGAUUGUGGAACAGGUGCUGGAAAAUUGUCAUCACUAGUGAGUUAGCCUUUGUCUUUACUGGACAGUAAAUUACAUUGCCAGACUAAGUGAAACUGGUACCUGAGCUUUAAUUCCUCUAAGGCCAGGUGGUUACACUUUAAAGCACAAAUAAACUCAGGUAAGUGUUAAAAUAGGUUUCAUUAAAAAAUUCCUCACAAGUAGCUGUUCUGAGAACUCAAUAAGCCUCCCCAAAUAUAUGGAUAUUAGGAGUAAAAAUUUAUUUGUAUCAUAUUAAUCCAUGGUAAUUAAAUAAAUGUCUCUCAAGGAUAUACUUUACUUCUUCAAAUAGAGGUAUGAAUGUUUGAACAUUAUGUUAGUAAUCAAACAGUCCAAAAUUUGUUUUAUGUUGAGGUUGCUUCUUGAUGUCACAAAUUGAAUUUUGAUUGUAUUGUUCCUAGGAUGUUUCAGUCUCAAAUAUUGUAAAGUCUGUAAUUUUAUUUAAUUACUUAAUCUCAUUGAGAAGGAAAAUUACUGUUCUUGUGUUCUUGCCUAGCCUUUAUCAUAGCUUGAUAAUGCUAGAUUUGUUAGUAUCAUGCUGAUUGAAGUGACAGUGGAUUUUGGAACCCACUUUGUCAUUCAUCUUUAGCAUAAUAUCCUAUGCCUCUUUAUGUCCAGUUUCUUUUUUGUAUCAGAACAGAUGAAAACAUAAAAUUUCCUGUCUAAAGGCCACCACCCUUGCUAGAGUAGCAGCAUCUAAUGCCAUUCUAUUUAUAGAUGGAACUUGUUAAGUUUCCUCAGCAGGGACUUAAAGCUAUGACCUCGCAGGCCAGAAACAGGAGAGCUACCUACUGAGCUACAAGGGCAAUCUCUCAAUUCUAAAGAAUACAUAGAAAAUUUCUAAUAUACUGUACUGUGAGUCAUAAAGUACUUGACCAGUAAACCCUCCCUCCCCUGAGAAUAAAGACUUUACUGAGUCAUUGCUAUUAUUUGACCUACGACUACUUUUAUUGCAGUUCUGUGUGUGUGAUUUGGCAGUGUGUAAUUGCUAUUUAGGCAAUGCAGAUGAGUUUUUCCUCUGUAGUACUUCAAAGAAAUCGUCAGGGUGUGAUAGAGUUGGGGUGUUCAGGUGGCUGUGAAACACAUGUUUACUUGUUUGAGUGGGUGUCUUUGCUGAUGGGGUAGAGUAUCCUGACUUCUUAAAAACAGUGAUAGUUUAAUUUUUUUUUUUUGCUGUUUCAUGGACUUUCUUGAAAGCUUGAAGAGAAAAGUACUGCAGAUGGAUUUGGGGUUUUUUUCUAUUGUUUUUAAUGUUUUUGUUUCUAAUAUGAAAUGUUUGCCUGUUUUCCUUUGGUCAGAGAAAGGCUACCUCAGAAAAGUUAAAGUAACAGUUCUUUGGGGAAAGAUAAGUGGCUGAGUGUUUUCACUUUAAUUAGCUGCAUGAUUGUAUCAGAAAGGUGAGUAGAGUGUAAACUGAGACUAUUGCGGCAUCCCUUUCAGAAAGUUGCUUUUGAGAAAGUGGUGGGUUUUUUUUUUAAUGCUUUUGAGAAAGCAUUGUUGUUGUAUUUUAAUGCAGAGUUUUAAGGAAAACUUCAAAUUAGAGAGGUUCCUUGAAGCACUUUGUUUCUCAAUUGAAUCGUAGAUGGCUACGCUUCCUGGCACAGCUGAGGGCACAGGCUGCUGUGAACGGCAGUAGGAGUUUGCCCAGGGGCUCUUUAUCACUGUCCCUCCUUGCUUUGGAGUUGAAUAUGCAAGUGAGUCAAUCACCAAAUGAACUGAGGUGAUAAUUUCCGAGGCUUAUGUGACUUCAAUAUUAAAAUGGACAAGGAGCGGUUUUUUAAUUCGAUUUUUAUUUGAUUGCUGUGUACUGAACAGUGGACUAACUACUGCAAAUUAAACAAACAAAAAAAAAAAAAGACCAGGAGGAACCUGGCUUUGGGUUUCUUAUUCUGGCUGUAUGUUACUUAUCCUAGACAAAAUAGACAAAGCUUCUGGGUAAGUUAAGAUAUGCUAGUGUAAGAUUGAAUUAAUAUAUAUCUCCUUUUUGUUCUGUGUCAAGCAAAUUUUUCUGAGAUCCUUGGGUUGUCAGUUUAGAGUUCCUUUGUCUUUGCCUAUGAGAGUUUGUGAGACUGUUUAAUAAACUGACAGAAAAAGCUGGUUCAGUUUCCUUUCAGAAUUGCUAUUUAUGGGAGCUGCCUGGUUUCUACAUCAGCCAUAAUGCCACUUUCAGAAAAAUAGGUGCUUGUCCCUUUCCAAGUCAUACGUUGUGCCAGACUUGUACACUGGAUAGGACGGUCUUCUGCGAGCUGAAGCGGCUCCAUACUCUGACACCUUUUCUCAUGGAUAUGCUGCCACUUCUGUGCUGUUGGAACUGAUUGUGAAACCAUGUAGUAAAAGGGGGUUUGGGUCUUAGAAAUAACCAUAUUCUUCUUGCUGGGUUAUUUUAAAAAUAGGUAAUAUCUCUAAUCGGAUUUAAUAUGUAAUAGAGUAAACAGUCAUGCUGUUCUAGCUGAGGGAGCAUUAAGCUCAGAUUGGUAAAAUGAAAGAUGUUUGUAAAAAGGCAGCCAUAGGAAAUAUGCCAUUUGCAUCCUUUUUUCCUUUUUUUUUUUUUUCCUGUUUUCUUUUCUUCUAAUGUUACAAGACUUAGGGAUGUUUUUUUUCGAACGUUGCAUGUUGUCCAUUGGAGUCUGAAGAAAUCUGACUUAUGACUGUUAUUUAUGCUGAGCUGUUAUUGAGAUGCAGGGUUUGGUUGCAGAUGUGCCUUUGUGCUGUUGUAAUGCUGAAGUAUUGAUGUGGAAAUCUGCUGACUUCUUUUGGUGAGCCUUCAACAAAGAUAGUUGUUAAAGUGAAGCUCCAUCUGUUGCUGAUAAAAUAGGAAGACUAUUCUUUAGAACCUCAGCGUUUCUCAUUAGCUAGCAAAUUAAUGGCACAUGAUGAUAUUGGAGCAGAGAAAAAAGCCUUGCAGUGAAGUGAUCUGGACUCCAGGAGAUGUUUUGUUCCAUAUGAACAUGUUUUGAUGUGAACAGAAAAGUUUUUGUUUGCACAGUUUAAAAUAAAACCCACAAGCAAACCACAUUUUUCUAACUCUGACCCUACUGUACUAAUGACUGUACAGAUUCCCACUGAAUGGCUUUCUCUGUUGGAAUCUGUGAUGUUCUGUUCCUCUGUUAUUGCUGUAUUUUUUAUUUAUGUAUCUUCCCAUUUCACAGUGGAUGAGAAGAAUUUGCAUGUGACUUGGCCACAGUUUCUUAAAGUUGUUCUCCUUGUAUUAAAACAGAUAUCCAGUGCUAUAUAAAUUUGUGGACAAUCUGCUGUCCCCUUGUCAAGUUACAUUGUAUUGAAUGUGCUUUUGUGGAAAAUUCAACCAAGUGGGUGAAAUUAGUAGUUUUUUGUAUGUUGGCUGAGUGCACAGUAGGCCUGUCUUGCUCCCUGUGACCUUAGGAAAGGCAUAACAUCUCUUCAAAAUUUCUGUACUUGAAGUCAGGUGAGGCAUAGUUCCCAUUUGGAGAAAUGAGGCUCUAACUAAGCUACUUUAUUGCUGAUUUUUGUAUUCAAUUGCUCUGUUCUUGGAAGGAAUAUGACUACUGUGUAAUUCCAUAUUUGUGUGCAGGACUUACUAGGUCUACCGAAUCUGUGAUAAAAUCUCUGUAUACUUCUGCAUCCUAGUCCUGGAGCAUUGAAGGCUCCCUUCAGCAGUCACCCCUCCUACUUGGACCUGAAGCCCUGAGACAGGAGCAUAUAAAUUCAACUUUCCUAUUCUUGCACACUGGUCUAGUAACUUGCCCUUCUGAGGAAUGAUCUAAGUUAGAGAUUUAGAUAGAAAUAAAGUUAAAAGUAGCUUACACUCAGAUAAUGAUUACAGCAGUGUUCAAACAAUAAUCCUGUGGGAAUGGGAUAUGAAAAGAACAUAAAUGCAAGCUAAAGACCAUGCAAAACAGUAUUCAAAAAUACAGCUCUCAUUUAGUCUCUUUCUAUACAGUGGCUUUGAUAAGAAUAUUAUUAUUUUUUAACCGAUAAGCCAUUAACAACAUUCACUUUAUUAAGAUACUUCCAUUUUAUUAUUCCAGCAUAAUUCCAGGCUGCUAACUGGCAUUAUUUUAUAACUAAUUAUUAACUCAUGUUCUCAUCCUUUCAUGUUUUCCUGUUGUUAUUUUUCCUAGAACAUGUAUGUAAGCAAGUAGGGAGAGAGAACAAAAGUGACCUUUUAAAGUGCUUCUAUAUUUUUUCCUAGAGUGCAGUUCUUCUAUUUAGUCAUACUGUGUGAUUCAAGUUCCAUGAAUUGCAGUCAAGUUCUGCUCAGUGUGAAUAAAGAUGGCUUGGUCUGAACCUUAACUAAUCAGUAUAUAUUUAUAGAAAACAAAAAUAAACUUCUUCCUCUCUUACUUUUGCAAACUCAUGUUAUGAUGACUGUGCCAUUUAGAGUGAAUAAUAUAGCAUAUGAGUUCAUUGAUCAUUCACAAAUUCACAUUCUUCUUGUGAGGAUGUAGAUGGUUUCCUUCUAGAUGAUUUGUCCCACACCGAAAUAAAAUAACAACACUCAUAUGCUUUUUAAAAUUUAAUUUUCCCCCUCUCUGUAUGGAUUCACUGUGAGUAGUGGAUGCAGUUUCACUCUUAAGUAAAUAAUCGGCGGGUGUGUCAUUGCAUAUAUAUUUCUUCCUUAUGGAGAAGUAUUGCAGUCUCAUUGUUGACGUGCUUUAACUAUUGUUGGAGCUGGGAAGUGCAGAGCAAAGGUACUGCAGCUCAAUUGGCUACUUAGCUUUUCAGUUGUCUUGCUCACUUAACCUCAGCAGGGUUUCAGUUACUAAGAGAAGAUAAAACCAUUAUGAAUUAUUUAAUAAUUUGCUUUUAAUGAAGCCCCCUAUUUUUAAAAAAGGUGUUACUAAACUUUCAUUUUCCUCCUAUAUGGUUAGUGUAAUGUUGCCAUGCUAAGGUAUUUUGACUACCUCAUUUGAACAUUGCUGUUGAAUAAUGUGAUGGACUAGACACUUCUAAAGGUAAUUUACAUCAUAAUCCUGUUUCUCCUAACCAGCCACUAUUUUGGACAAGAAUUUUGCAGUUUUUCCUAGUCUUGCUGUAGGUGGAAAGGUGCAGCUUGCUGGUCAGUGAAUUAAGGGAGUGCAGGAGAACGGUGUAUCCGAGUGGUGUGUGGAUGUGUCCGGUGUGCUUCCCACACUGGUGCCUGGUGGCUGUGUCUGGUUCCCUGCACAGGGGCAUGAGCUGAUGGCUACAGGCCGUUCUUCCUGUGUGCAGGCUGGGCAACUUCCUUGUGAUGGCUGUCCUCGAGUUGGGAACACAUGGCAUUGGGAGAGGGGAUGUGGGAUUCUCAGAAGUGAUGCUGGGAAGCCUCAGGGCUGCCUGCCUGCAAGGUGCCCUCAGCUGCCGCUCUAUGGACAGCUUGGUGCAGAACACCAGCGUUUCUAGCUUGUGUGCUGCAGUCGUAGGAGGAGUCCCUUCAUCUGGUUCCCAUAAGCAAUAGCCAAAUUCCCUCCCUGCUGGAGAGAAAUGCUGCUUUUGCCAGCUAAAAACAUCAAGUUAUUCUUUUCUCUCAUCUCUUUCUGUUUAUGGAUUUUUUUUUCCCAGAAUGCCUUUGCAUGUUUGCUCAUUUGAGGUUUUUUUUCCCCUUCCCACUUUUGUUUUCUUGUGUAACAGCAGGGUUAACAGGAUUUUAUACACCACUGUUGUUGUUAAUUUAAUGUAUUAGAGCAGUGAAAAUAUAAGAAACAAUAAUUUGUGUACGGUCUCAGAACUGAAAGCUUUUUGACUGGAAAGAUAUCUCACUGUAGCUAUAGGAAAAUUGUUCUCAGUUUAAAACUUAAAUUUGCUGAAAUUUGAUAAGUUAGUACAAAGCAAUUUCAAAUCUCAGCCGUAAAAUCAAUGUGAAGUUACUUUUUUUCCCUGUUUUAAAAUUUGCCUUGGAGAACAAAUAACGUUCUUUGUUUCAGAACAUCUGUAAUUACACAGAAGUGCAUGAAUUCUUGUAUUAUACAAGCACUGCAUAGAAAUACUUCCACAAAACUAAGCUGAAAUAUUCAGCAUUUUUGAGAAGAAAGAACCUUUUGGAAAUUUUUGGUAAAAGAAAAUACUGCUUGUAUUUAAAUGCAGUUUGAAUUUUUGAUGCAGUUUGAAUUCAUAAAUCAGUAUCAUAUGCCACCAGUUUUUUUGUCUUGAUGGAGUGAGUAGAUGGGUGAGCUGGGCUUUGGGGAGAAGGGCAGAUGGAGCUGCAUCCAAGAGCAAGGCUAUGUUCCUGUGGAAUGCAGACAGGGUCUAACUGCCUCUCUUCGGAGGAAGGGAUAUUGUAAUAUUAUCAGCAAUGUUGUAUUGAAGAUUGAAAACAAGUAACUGAAAGCACAUUGUAAAGGAACAGAUGAUUUAAAUGAUUCGGAGAACAUUUCUAAUGUUAGUAAUCAGCAAACCACAGAAAAAUUUGCUUGUGAUCAGAGUUCUGAUUUUUCACCAAAAUGGAAAGUCUAGUCAAAAGUAAUCCAUCUUUUGUUCACUUAGCAUGUUUUUUCUUAGCUAUGCUGCCUACCAAUUUAUUUAAAGAAAAAGAUUUUGUAUGUGUAUGUAAUAGUAAAUGAAUGUCAGAAUGGAAAUUUAAUGGCUUUAUAGCUUUUUGGAAGUUUCCUUCUUCUGCAGAAACAUAUAAUAAAAUUUAGAAAAUUUUUAUAGACACAAAUUGUUUGAAAAAUAAGCCUUCAAUUAACAUUGGUUAACUGAAAAACAAAAUACAUCCUGUUUUCAUAGCAUUGCAACAGCUCUGCUUUCUUUGAACCUUUUUUUUUAAAGCAAAGUCUCUUGUUGAUUUGUUGUGCGUGUCUUCUAAACUUUUUGAAGUUCAAGCAUAUUUUCAAAAGAUCUGAAAUAAGGCUUUCCUGCCAUAUCAAAAGGAAAUAGUAACACUUUCAUGCUGUUAUGUGAUAUAGUUGAGUUUUUAUUUUUAAUCCCUGAUCUAAUUUAGGUUUGAACAUACAUUACGUAAAAAGUGCGUACAGUAUUCUGUAUCAAGGUUGUUACAGAAAAAGAAAACUUAAACUGUGAAUUGUCUUUUUAUAACAAACUCAUUUUGGAAUCAUAAGGUUACUUUAAAAGAGGAUGUAAAUCUUAAGGAAUCUUUUCUGUCAAUGAACUAGGAGAGGCGUGAGAUCUGCUAGAACAGUUCUGGCCUCUGGCUUGGUCCUGUCAGCUCUGUGCUGUGGGCAAAGGGUGAGCAGGCUGUAAGUUGAGUGAAGCUGCAUGAAGGGAUGGUGGUGCUUGACUUGCUUGUCUGGGGGGGCAUCUGUAGUAGUAGUGUUAGAGGCAUUGAUGCAAAUGUUUGAAUAUUGCAUGUGCCUUUUACAAAUCCUUUGAAAUUUGGGGAGCGUUGUCAUCUUUCAUGUAUUGUGAAGAAGUGUAAGUAUUGUGACUCUGCAUCUUCUGAGAGUAUACUAGCUUUAGGAACCCUAAUAUGAUAGCUUUUGGGGAAAAAUUGCAAGGAACCUUCCUACAAUAAUUGGAUGAAAGUUUUCUUUAAAGAUUUAAGGGUGUCUGAUGGACAACGACUUGCUUCAGAGACUUCAAAAAUUGCCAGAAGCAUGAUGGCCAGGAUGAUACUUUUCUUUUGAAGAGUUUCUUUGAGUGUUUUGAGAUGGAGAGAAUCUUCAUUCUGUCUAAGAAUGAUUUUUAGGUUUAUUUUAUGAGGAGAAUAAGACUAGUGUCAAACCAAACCUUGAACAAAUGAUGUUUUGUUCUGGAAUUAGCAGUCACCAUUGUCUGUUUCAGUGUUUUCUGAAACUGUCUCACUGCCCCUGAGUUUGACAGUUUGUAUCACAGCCUAUUGAAGAAGUUGUGGUGGCAGUGAUGUUUAAAAAGGCAGGGGUCAAGUGAAGGAUAAUAACAUACUACUUAUUUUUCUUUCUGGAAUGUUUGAAUUUAAACUACUUUUUUUUUAUCAGAGAGGAAAUGUUUUAAGAUACAUGUUUCUUUGUGCUAAAAGGCAGUUUGAGGUGGCCUGCUUGAUACAGGCUUUCUUUACUGUGUGAUACAAAUGUUCAUACUGACAUUCAUGUGUAGAGAAUUUGAGUGUACCUUUGUGUAAGUGCAUCUGUUGGAUUUCAAAAUUUAAAGAAACCCCACAAGGAUGUGCAUAGAAUUGCCAGCUUAUAGUGCCUAGGAAAUGAAGGCAAUACUACUGAGAAAGGCAGUCUGCCCUGUGUUUGGUGUUGGCCAUGUUUUUGCCUGUGCACUGCCCUGUGCCUGGAUGUCAGCACAAAAUUAGCUGUGGUUGUAUGCCAGACUUUAUGGAAGGCCUGAUGUUGUUUACUACUGACCAGCUAUUGCUUUGUAGCUGUGAUCCUUGUGUUCGCCCAUCUAGUCAUCAUGAAAUUGCACAGAAAAGUAAUACACCUGCGUAUGCACUGUGUUUGCAAAGCUUAGAAAAUAUGGCAAGUGACAAAAUAAUUCCUGACAUUGAAAAAUUCUGUUAAGUGAUAAAAAUGUAUCAGAACAGAUAAGAAUAUAUGGACACUGGUAAAUAAUGGUGUGAUACAAAUAAUGGUGAAAAAAUAUCAGAGUAUAUUUUCAUAUCAAAGUGUUGGUCUCCACACAGAUUGCUUGCUAGAGCUGAUUGUGCACUCAGUUUUACCUCAUAAGCCUUUUUAGGUAUUACUUUCAAUACAGACAGAUAUAAAAUAUAAAAUAUGAUGUAAGAAGUAGAAGGUGCGUUUAAAAAUAGCAUGUAGAGGUAAAAUACUGUCACUGUUCUAAAGUGAUAAUUUAAUAACAAAGCAGAAAAUAACUAUCUGACAAAGUCUUUUUGCUGUACUGGCAUUGCAAACCAGUGUGUUCAGAAGAGCACUGAGGCUGCCUGGCAGCCAUCCCCAAACUCCAGCCCAGGGCCUGUCACUGUCACGGCCUGAGACAGCCUUUGCUGCUUGUCCCUAGGUGCAGUUCAGGUGCUGUGGUGAUGCCAGAAUCCUAUGGCCAUGAACAUAGUCAGACUGUAUUAUUUCUUUAACUCUGCAUCAAUGAAGAUAAUGUAGAGUUUGGGCAUGUUAAUGGAUGGCGAGCUGUCCUGAGGUUCACAAUGGUUUAUGUGAGUGGUCCUUGCCCUUCAUGAACAAUGUGGUGCAAGGGUAGUCCCUAAAUGGCUUACCUCAUCAUGUAGAACCUGCAUUGAAUUUUUAAUUAAUGAAUUAAAAGUAGUUUAACUUUAGAGUCUCAAGUUGAAGUUUUCAGUGUUUUAAACAAAAAGGUUCAUAACAAACUCUUCCUCAUUCUACAGUAUUUUAUAUAAUCUUUGUCUUUUUCUAGCAUUAAGAAAAGUGUUUCUGUAAUGUUAAUUAGCUAGUAACUGCUGUUUUCAGUGUGCUUUAAUUACUGUAUGUUGCUUGAUUAUAUGUUAUGAAAUAAACUUAAGGUUAUUCUAGAUUGUUAAACAGUGAGCUAAUAUAUAACUACUGUGCUUAAGAUGAGGUUUUCCAGAUAUGGUGGUGGAAUAUUGGGAAGAGGAAAAUGAGAAUGAGAACGGCUGGAAGUGCAGUUCUCAUUCUUAGAGACAUAUGAAAAAGACUUUAAGAAUUGCCUCCUAGAUUUUGAAAUUAAUAUUUAUGAGAAAUAUCUGGUAAAAUACCAUGAAAGUACUUUAAAACAUGUGCAUAAUCAUAAAAAAGAUUGUAAAGAUGUAACUCUAGGAUAAUUUGCAUAUGUGUUAUUAAUAGGUAUCCUUUGCUGUCAGUCUAAUUGUACAAUGCAAGAGAAUUCUAAUUUACUAUUACUGAAGAAUUUUUAAAAAAUGCUCCUGUUCAAAUUAUGACCAAUAGCUGCACUGCAAAAUUACAUGUAUGUAGAUCUGUCUACACAUGUAGGUUUUGUUGCAGUGACAGUUGUACUUUUUAAUUAGCAAGUUCUUUAUUUAACUUGGUGCUCAUGGGCAGUUUUACUUUCAAUUUCUGCUGGACCAAUGCUGAAUGAAGGGUUGUACAUGCUCAUUAUGUUAUGUUUGGUAAACAGCUGAAAAGAAGUAAGCUAAGCAUUAUAGAGGAUUUAAAACAUCUGAUAACAAAGAUAUUUGAUUGCCUUUCAUAUUGAAAUAAAAAAAGUUGAAAAUUUUAUUGAACAAAAAAUUACGAGUAUUGUAAAAUGUAUCCUGUAACUGCUCUGUCUCUUUAAAAAGAUAUUUGCAGUAGUAACCGAUCUAGCAUUGAAAACCACUAAGAAUUUUAAUAUUGUUCAUAUGUAAUUGCUGUAAUCUCUGGUCUUUGCAGGAGACGGUACUUAACAUACUCAAGGUUUUUUCCCAUGGUGUUUCUUUCUCAGAUUGCUAGGAUAAAGUCUGUGUUUAUUUCAGUUGAUUGUACAUAGAAAUAAACAGUUUACAUUUUUAGUUGAUGCAUAACAUUUUUAUUUGCUUUAUUCUGUCUUAAAUCUAGCUUCAUCCUUAGUUAAAUUUUGUGGUUAUGUUCAGAUACUUCCCCUCAGAUCUUCAUGUAGUACAGUGUAAGCAGCUCUGCUCUCGGGCUACUUUGCAAACAGUGAAAAAUAUAUGAAGAUAAAUCCUCUAUUGUGCCAAUUUAUUCCCCUAAGUAUUUCCAUCAUUUCUUUUACAGUAAUUUUUCAAAAUUAUUUCAUCAAUAUUUUAACUCUCAGUUUAAGCUACUACUCAGUAAAUCAUAUAUUCAAGAUCUUUUAGUUUUAUGUGUUAUUUUAGUAAGUUUCUAAUUUUUAAAGAGUUUUUUUUGAAGUAGUGUAAGAGUAUGGCUCAGCAGUGCUGAUACCUAGGAGAAUAAGGUCAGUGAAGGGGGAGGGGGCUGUUCCUUUCUCUGUAGGUAAUAAAAUGUGGCAUUUUAAGUGCUGUGGAGAGGGUCUCAAUUGUGGCCACUCUCUCAGUUAAAUAACUGCUUAGGGACUCUGAAUAUGCAUUUUUUUCAUUUAAAGAAAGUAAAACAAUUAAGUGUUCCUUCCUCUAUGAAUGUUACAAAAUAUAAUAUAUAUGUUAAUUUCCCUUAUUUCACUAUUCUUCAUGGAUAUUGAGGCCUGGGUGCAGGUGGGGGUCUUCUCUUGUUCCUUUUAAGUUUCAUGCAUUUUACUGCACUUGUUAAAUAUCAGCAUCUCACUGCCAAGUCACUAAAAGGUGAUUCUUUGAUUUUUUUUUAAAAAGUAAACUUACUGCUCAUUCUUUAAAAAUCCAUUAGUGGCAUUUUGACACAUGAAAAGUUUGAGGCCUUCUGCAUUCUUUAGUCACCAGAUAACGAUAUUAAUAACAUAGUAGUGUAUAGCAGUGCAUAGGUGAGAUUUUAAAACAUUUGAAUUUAGCUUGUGUUUAAAGUUGAUGAAUAUAAAUGAAUCAGCCUGGUGUUUUAGGUGAAAGUAUUUUCAAAUUUAAAGCUGUUGUGCCCCGAUGGGAUUAUUUCAGUGGUUGACUGAAACAUUCAGGAGAAGGGAAAUGUUUCUUUAAUGCCAGAGGGAAUUGAGCUAGGAAUUGGGAACAGAAAAAGGAAAAUAUCCCCAGCCUUAAACAUCCCUCUGAUUAUGACUAUCAUGAAACUGAGCUUUGCUUCAAGAUUUUAGCCAAUGCUGUGUUUUCAUAAUUUAAUAGGUAUUUAUUUUCUGAGUAGUUAGUGAUUUGUCUUUCUUAGAAGAUGCCUGUAAGAAAAUGGAUCUAUCAAUAAGUAACUCAUUUGCAGCAUUAUUGUACUCAAAAUCAUGAGAAGUUUAAUUUCAGUUUGCUUCUAUAAUUUUCCUUGACAGCUGUUGAAAAAAAAAAGUGGUAGAUUUGGAUUUAAACUGACUUCCAAGGAGGAGAUAUUUGUUCAAAAGCAGUCAGCGAGUGCAAAGAUCCAUGCCAAUAUUCAGAAUUCGUAUUUCCCUUGAAUGGAAGGUUGUGAUAAAAUGGUACAUGGUGUGUUUUCAUUGCCUGUUGAAAGACUUUCAUGCAGUUAAAAUAAGCAUUUUGAUGGUGGUUGAAUUAAGAGUUUUUGUCAGUCUCUUCUCAUCAUGGAUGAUUAGACUAAAACGUCUGCUUGUCUUGACUUGAGAUCACCACAGCUUCAGAUAACAUGCUUUGUGAUUGAAGGUCGAAAUAUUUUGAAUUCUAAUAGGCUGCCAGAUGAAUUGCUUGAAAUAGACUGUAAAAUUUCAAGGCUUCCUUUUCCAUCUGCUGUGAAAAGAACCAUUGGGAAUGGUUGAGCUUGAUGAUCAUAGAAUUACGGGAUGGUGAUUCUAAAACCCUCAAAGGGAAGUUGCUAUGGAGAUCUAGUUCCAAACUGUGAAAUGAUUCACCUCUGAAAGGCUUCAGGGUCUGAGAAGCUGAACACAUCAUUGUUCAGGUGGUCAUUGGUUAGGAAAUUGCUGGUGCCUGUGUAAUCAGCACUCCUGUGGUAGUUAACGAUCUAAAAAGGUUUGUUCUGAAUGAUGUGGGACAACAGCAAUGUGCAUAAGAUGGCUUCUCUCAAUCAUAGUUUGCUCAGCCUGGUGCUUGUAAAAAUAUAGUGAGCUAAAUGGCAGGGAGACGAACUGCUUCAUUGAGGAGGUCUUUUAAAAACAAAAUUCUUUUCUGUGAUGGAUUUGACAUCUAAAGUAAAAAAAGAACAACUGUUUCCGCUUAAAAAGCUGUGGUUAGAUGUUGCAAAAAUAUCAUAUAUUUAUUUUGCAAGGAGCAGAACAGCGGGGCUGCAUAUUUGUAUUUGCUUGAAGGCUUAAGGAGUAAUACCUUUGGAAAUAAAGAUUUCUACCCAGUCACACCUUGAGAACAUAAUGAAGUAGCCUUGAUAUAUUAAUAUUUUUCCUCUUCCGUCCCCCCUCCCCGGUAUUAGGGCCUACAAGGCACUCUGCUCCGGCAGUCAUGGAAAAAACACCCUGUGUUAUCGAGGAUUCAGGUUAAUCAAAGCUGAUGUUUUCUUUCUUAGUUUCUAAUUUAUUUGUGUGUUUGAGGCUAGGAAAAGGGAAUAACAGGCCAGUUUUUUGCAUGCAUGUAUAAAACAAUGCAUUUUGUCAACUGCUGCUAAAAUUUGCCAGCAGAUUCUUAGACUGCUUGAAAAUUCCAACAUACACACAAGUAUUUAAUGUACUUUUUCAAGGAAGUCAGAAAUCAUUUGUGCAGUACACAAGUAGUUAGUGACUAUACCUAAUUCAACAUAAAAUAUUUUCUUAACCAUGUGAUGUUCAAGAAGUCUGAGUUACUAUUCCUUGCAUACUCAGUGUCACCAUUUCACAAUUUCUUAACACAAUCUCUUAAUGAUUACUAGUAAAGAAGAUGCCAGUGGCUACUAGGUGGUGCCAGAUAGUUACAGAACACAAUUGGUAUGUUCCACAAUAUAGUUGCCAUUUAAAUAAAACGCUGCUAGGGAAAAAAGUGAAUGUCUGAGGGCUAGGGACUCCUUCACUGAAGUAAUGUACAAAAUGAGUUCUUUACUUUCCACAUGAUGGGCCAGCCAAUCUAUAGCAAGCAAUUUAAUAAUUUUUUGAUGGGAUGUUUUUUUGAUAAUUGUAAAGGAAGAGACUUAACAUCCAAAAUAAAAUAUUAGUAUUGAGUUUGGUGUUGUCAGCUGUUGCAUGAAGAUUUGAACAUUGAACAGGAAAUGUUGAAAACCCUCUUUAUUAAGUUUAGCAUCUCAGAUAAGAUGCAAAUUAUAUAUUGCCUUGUGUUUUUAGUAUUUCAGAUUCUGUUCUAAAAAGAUAAUUUGUUAUUUCUUAUAAUUGCAAGCCUGUACUGUUAUGUGAGGUCCUAAGAACUGUGACAUCUCUUAAUUUGUAGAGAUGUAAACAUGUGAAAAAUAGUGUG